UAUUCGGUUGGUGCAAAAGUAAUUGCAGUUUUUGCCACUUUUUUACUGGCAAAAACUGCAAUUACUUUUGCACCAACCUAAUAUU
rnacentral:miRNA from 1 species